rnacentral:misc_RNA from 1 species
AGCCCUCAAACCCAAUGUCCGCCAUUCUUGGUAGAGGUUGAGGUUUGGAUUUGGACUUUGCCGGUUUACAUCGGCUGGUCUUGAAGUCAUUAGCUGGCUGCUGAGGUUAGCGACCUGGUGUGAUAAGAUCACUCGCUGGGUGCGCGACCUUGUAUGGUGGCUGCUGCCAAUCGUCUCGCAAGGGACAAAUAGCCUUUAAGU